rnacentral:rRNA from 1 species
AUACGGAGGGUGCAAGCGUUACUCGGAAUCACUGGGCGUAAAGCGCGCGCAGGCGGGCUGAUAAGUUGGAUGUGAAAGCCUACGGCUCAACCGUAGAACUGCAUCCAAAACUGUCAGUCUAGAGUGUGGGAGAGGAAGAUGGAAUUAGUUGUGUAGGGGUAAAAUCCGUAGAGAUAACUAGGAAUACCAAAAGCGAAGGCAAUCUUCUGGAACAGUACUGACGCUGAGGCGCGAAGGCGUGGGGAGCAAACAGGAUUAGAAACCCCGGUAGUCC